UGGGGAAUUUUGGACAAUGGGCGCAAGCCUGAUCCAGCCAUUCCGCGUGAGUGAAGAAGGCCUUCGGGUUGUAAAGCUCUUUCGCAAGGGAAGAAAACUUAACCUCUAACAUAGGUUGAGGCUGACGGUACCUUGAUAAGAAGCACCGGCUAACUACGUGCCAGCAGCCGCGGUAAUACGUAGGGUGCGAGCGUUAAUCGGAAUUACUGGGCGUAAAGCGUGCGCAGGCGGCCUGAUAAGUCAGAUGUGAAAUCCCCGAGCUCAACUUGGGAACUGCGUUUGAAACUAUCAAGCUAGAAUAUGUCAGAGGGGGGUAGAAUUCCACGUGUAGCAGUGAAAUGCGUAGAGAUGUGGAGGAAUACCAAUGGCGAAGGCAGCCCCCUGGGAUAAUAUUGACGCUCAUGCACGAAAGCGUGGGGAGCAAACAGG
rnacentral:rRNA from 1 species